rnacentral:rRNA from 1 species
GACGAACGCUGGCGGCGUGCUUAACACAUGCAAGUCGAACGGAAAGGCCCUGCUUGCCGGGUACUCGAGUGGCGAACGGGUGAGUAACACGUGGGUGAUCUGCCCUGCACUUCGGGAUAAGCUUGGGAAAAUGGGUCUAAUACCGGAUAGGAGCCAUCUUUAGUGUGGUGGUUGGAAAGUUUUUUCGGGGUAGGAGGUGCUCGCGGCCUAUCAGCUUGUUGGUGGGGUAAUGGCCUACCAAGGCGGCGACGGGGAGCCGGCCUGAGAGGGUGUACGGCCACAUUGGGACUGUGAGACAGGCCAGAGUCCGACGGGGGGCAGAAGGGGGGAAUAUUGCACAAUGGGCGCAAGCCUGAGGCAGCGACGCCGCGUGGGGGGUGAAGGCCUUCGGGUUGUAAACUCCUUUCGCUAGGGACGAAGCUUUUUUGUGACGGUACCUAGAUAAGAAGCACCGGCUAACUACGUG